UACGAAGGGUGCAAGCGUUGUUCGGAUUUAUUGGGCGUAAAGCGCGCGCAGGCGGAUUUAUAAGUCAGUUGUGAAAUCUCGGGGCUCAACCUCGAACUUGCGGCUGAAACUGUGGAUCUUGAAUGUCGGAGAGGGAAGGGGAAUAUCUCAUGUAGGGGUAAAAUCCGUAGAGAUGAGAUAGAACACCAGAGGCGAAGGCGCCUUCCUGGACGAUUAUUGACGCUGAGGCGCGAGAGCAUGGGGAGCAAACAGG
rnacentral:rRNA from 1 species